rnacentral:piRNA from 1 species
UAAGGGCCUGAAAGGAGUUUCUCCAGU